rnacentral:rRNA from 1 species
UACGGGGGGGGCAAGCGUUGUCCGGAAUUACUGGGCGUAAAGGGCUCGUAGGUUGCCAACUAAGUCAGACGUGAAAUCCCUCGGCUUAACCGGGGAACUGCGUCUGAUACUGGAUGGCUUGAGUUCGGGAGAGGGAUGCGGAAUUCCAGGUGUAGCGGUGAAAUGCGUUGAUAUCCUAAGGAACACCGGUGGCGAAAGCGGCGUACUGGGUCUUAUCUGACGCUGAGGCACGAAAGCUAGGGGAGCGAACGGG